rnacentral:rRNA from 1 species
AAGUGAUAAGUCUUUUAUUCUGAACCCAUAGCGUGACGGGUAAGUUAAGGCUAGAGGUAAACAAAAAGGAAAGAAAAAAAAAGUAUAGAAUGAAACUUUGUUUAUAUAUCGAUAAUGACGAUAUAUAUAUUAUUUCUUUACCAAUUACGUGCCAGCAGUCGCGGUAAUACGUAAGACACUAGUGUUAUUCAUCUUAAUUAGGCUUAAAGGGUACUCAAACGGACUGCUUACGCAUAAAAAGACUAGUGUUAUAUAGAAGCAGGUAGUACCUUAAGUGUAGCAGAUUAUAUUUGGUCAUACUCGAGGGACUUAGCAAAAGGCGUAGGCAACCUUCUAAGCAAUAACUGACGUUGAAGGACGCAGGAUAGGUCACGCACAGGAUUAGAUACCCAAGUAGUCUUUGCAGUCAAUGAUGAAUGCCAUAGGUUAGAUAAAAAUUUAGUCUAUAAAUGAAAGUGUAAGCAUUUCACCUCAAGAGUAAUGUGGCAACGCAGGUACUGAAAU